GCCUCUUUAGCAUAGUGGUAGUGCCCCCGCCUUGUAAGCGGGUUGCGUAAGUUCGAUUCUUACAAGAGGCUCAA
rnacentral:tRNA from 1 species